GGGUUUGUGGUCUAGUGGUAUGAUACUCCCUUAGCACUAUCAUCACACCGAUUGAAGUCCUAUUAUGGGAGUGGUCCCGGGUUCAAUUCCCGGCGAAUCCA
rnacentral:tRNA from 1 species